GCCAAGCCCAACCUCGCAAGAAAUAGCACUUUACUCGCGUACUCUUAGUAAUAUAUCAUUACUACUACUAGCCUCGUUGUUUGUGGGGUUUGAAGUUUACACAUGAUUUGCCUGAGCGAGAUGAUAGGACCAAUGAUAUAUCUAAUUUAUUUAUUAUCUUAUUUUUCUGAAGUGGGCAUUAAGGCCACUGGGAGAGCCAGGCUUCGUGUCACUUAUUUAUCAUGGUUGAGAUGGUCAGGGAUGGCAAAGUGCUGAAGGUCAGUGCGUCGUGGUCAGCUUUGGAAAAUCAUCAUCACCAUCAUCAUCAUCAUCAUCAUCAUCAAAACUGCUCUCAUCUGAGUCGGUUAGUAAAAGAGCAUCAGCUGUAAGUCUAAAUAGGGAAUAAGUGACUAAUUAUCACAUAAUUGCGCGUAAUUGAGCACAGGAGUCCCACUCGGCACACCCGAGGUUCUGAUUCGUUUACACUUCCUUAAUCACUGCUUAUCUCACCAAAUGCGUUUCAGUGUAGCUAAGACAGAAACCUUUCCUGGUGUGGGCCUGUAUGUUCAUCUUAACAAAGGGGUUGUUUUUGAUGGAGAAGAUGGUAAAACUUAGACAAAUGUACGACUUAAUCUAGACCUGUGGGCUGUUUGAGACCGUUUAUGGGCCUAGAGCGCCAUCUAGUGGGCAGAGCGGCGAAGGAAGGAUCCUUGCAGACUUUUUUUGGAGGCAAAGGCGUUUCUAUAGCAACCUUCCAGACUGCUCUGGAUCUCCUGGCAUCAGGCAAUUUGUUGCCUUAAAUUCCUUUCACGUAAAUAUAGCAAAGGCGGGUCGUUGCUUCUAAUCGUGCUGCUUCGUAACGCCGACGUUAGUAAUGUAGUUAGAGCGAUGCAAAGGAAGCGAGACGGAGAAGAACCUAUUCGGCAGCUACAGCAUUUCGCAAUGUGUGUCUAACUGUAAGAACGUGAACGUGUCGUAGUCCUGGCUUCUUUUGCAAUGUAAUAGUGAAACUGGUAGGUGGGCUUUCGAAGUGCUAAACUACUCAAUGGUGUUCUGUUUUUUUUUUGUUUGUUUGUUUUUGAGGGUCGUGACAUGGGGGCGGGAGGUGGGUUAACAAAGCAGACACACUUAUUGCACAACACAGUGGGACACAGGAUGAGAACGAAGCCUUCGGAUGCAAACCUGCGCCUGAUUUGGGGGCAGUUCUGCGGUUCCACUCCGCGACUGCAGACUCUGGACACUAAAGCCAGUGCUGCUGAGGAGAGGGCGCCGGAGUGCGGCGUGAGGAGCUCAGACUCGGAACCCUAUUGGCUGGUUUGCGAGGCGCUGCAGCCAAUCACGCGAUGUCAAUAGAGGCUAAAUGGAAAUACACGCUCAGACGUGAUGAGAACUGUUGCAGCCUGACGACUGCUCCCCACUGUCUGGUGGAGGAGGUUCCUGCAGGAAAACGAGGAACAGCGAGAUGAUCCUUGGCACAGAUUUCUGGAUCAACAGACAAACAGGAAGAAAAAUGAGAACCAAGAGUCGCCUCACCACUCCAUGGACUCAGAGGUCAAACAGACCAGGCAGCAAUCUCACACUUCAAAGAUGGCAACUGAAAUAAAGUGAGCACGGACGUUACGAUGUUCAGGCGUAACGUAGGGAGGGCCACAAACGUUGUUUCCUUGCAGAAAUGCCUCAAAGGAUCUCGAAAAAGGGAUGCUUUGUCAAACGUGGAGUCUAACUGAACGGCAGCAUUAUGGACAACGUCACAGACUGAGGCUUAGAGACAUGCUGAACUGAGGUAGAGGAGAAUUUACUUGAAUCACAGAUCAUCUACAUAUAUGCUUUAUGAGACACUAAACGUGUUCUUGAUGUCUUUUAGGAAACAACAGGCUAUAAUGACAGGAGUGUGUCUGUGUGUGUGUGUGUGUGUGUGUGUGUGUGUGUGUGUAUGCGUGUGCAUGUAUGUUCUCACAGGUACACAUCAAGAAUAUGUCACAGAUAAACACUGCAUAUCAUGUGCUAUACCAAAUCAUAUUGCAUGCCUGGAAAUACAGAGCAUGCAAUCAGACAUAAAGACAACAACACAAAAAGAAAUCUUCAUUUUCACUCUUUGUUAACCAACAUCUCGAAACAGCUUCAAGUGUAAUCGUCAAGUAAUAUGGGAACAAUGAUGAUGGUGUAGAUUAAAAAAAAUGGUUAACAUUAUUAAAUCUCUAUUUUUUUAAGGUAUCAUAUGUUUUGUAUGAAAAGAAAUCGGUUAAACUGGUGACAGGUUAUUUUUUUAAAGCGUUUUUGCUAAAUGAUUUUCUUCUUUCUCGUGACUUAUUUUGCCUUGUUGGAACAGCAACUGAAAGAACAGAUGAACUCUAGAGUUUUGGCAGUGUAGAAAGCCUCACACCCCUUUUCUCCUCAAACAAAGUGUCGGUGCAGGGCAAAAGCUGCAGGGUCUUUGACUUCACCUUUCUUUCUUUACUCCUUUUUAUCUGAUUGUGAUUGUUCAUAUAGGUUGAAAUAACAUUUGGAUCAGAAUGCUGUAUCACCUGUCGUUUAAAAAAAAAAGAGUAUCUACCUCAAUGUCAUGAUCUUCAGUUUUAAGAAGCUUCGCCCUGGGAAACAGUUCCGCUGCAUCAAUCAUGUAACUGUCUGUGCGGUCAUUAAACCAGUGCGUUGUUUACCCUGCCAUGGAGUCAGGUGAACUUAUAUGUCAUGUUCCUAAAAAUAGUUUGACCUGCUUGUCCUCAUUGUCCAUUCUUGAGGCCUGCUGUAUGUGUAUGUAUUAGUCUAGCUGAAGCCCUUUGACAUGUUGGUUUGUGCAGUAAAGCACAGUCUAUACAAAUAUUAAAGGGCCCAUAUAUUGGAAAUUGAUGUAGUAUGAAAACGUUACAGUUUCAAAACAUACCAUUCACUCUCAAGUCAUAUAUGGCAGCUAAGCUAAAACUUUUUUUAUGAUGUCACAAAAACAUUUACAUAUAUCUGCCUGUUUAGCCUACAGCAGUUUAGACCCACCCAUUCAUGUUGAUUAGAGUUAUUAGGAGAGUUUCAGCCCAGACCGCUUUCUGACUGAGACACAAUAUAAGAAUAUUAGAACAAUUAAAACAGAGCUCAUUUACACAUAUCGAUCUUAGAGUAUUUGACAGAUUUUUCAAGUUUUCUGCAUUAUAUCAUCAACCAUCAACUAAAUCAUCAAGAUCUAAACAGUCACUCACAGUGGUUUGAUGUGAAAAUCAUAAUUGUUCACAAUGGCAGAUAGGCUCUAGACGUCUUAUCCUUCUAAGAAGCUACAUCAAAGGAAUUAUUCUAUAAAAUUUUCUGUGUCCUGAUGCCUGAGACAUUGAUUUAUAAUAGUAAGGAGAUAGGAUAUUGGCCUACACUGUAUUUUUUAAAACACAAUCAUGGUGGAAGUACAUACAGGGUGUUGUAAGGCAAAGUGGUCCCCAAAGAAAACAUGUUUAUGAAUUUUACACAGUUUUACCAUUAUUAACAUUACACAUCUUCUGUUUUCAUAUGUAGAGACACUGAAUGUUUUGGAUAAUAAAUAAAAUGGCUAUAUUUGCAUCAGGACACCUGGUUCACAUCAUUUACGUUACAUUUAUGACAUUUGGCAGACGCUCUUAUCCAUUUCAUAAUUUUUACACAGGUAGGAGAAGGUAGUGUUAGGAGUCUUGCCCAAGGACUCUUAUUGGUAUAGUGUAGGGUGCUUCUCCAGGUUGUGGGGAAUGACUUUGUUGGUACUGCAACAAGUAAAUUAUGCAGAAUUUUUUAAAUCGAGAGAUUGGAAAAUGUGGAAAACCACACAAACACUACAAGUGGAUCUCAAGAAAUACAAGAAAAUUGUGGGCUCUCUAAUAUCUGACCUUGACCAACAGGCCACUGAUUUUUUAACAAUACUAUCCACACCAUCCAAUAAGAUGUUAUAAUAAUAAGAUGUUUCCCAUAGCCAGUGUAUUUAGAAACCUGCAUCUUUUUUCACUUGUUCCUGAAAUACAAAAUGGUCCUUGAGCAAAGAGCGUCUGAAUAUCCUGAAAAAGUGAUACAUUACAUUUACUUGACUCAUCGGCACAAUUACAUCAGCACAAUGUCUUCUUUCGGUUUACUUAUUUUAGGCAAUAAUUGUGCUGCUGUAAUAUGUUUUAUUCAUGUGGAAGUGAUGUACAUGUUUAAAUCACAUACAUUCAGCGCGUUACUAUUUUUCAGAAACAGAGUGGAAAUGCUUAUUUCUUUUCCAUGUCCAUAAUCCACCUUCAGCUGCAUUAAUGGAUCACACCACCACACAGCGUUAGCAAACAAGAAUCAAUGCGACUUUAUUUGUGUGAGAAAAGCAAUAGUAUAGAAAGCCAUGCAUUUCAGUCACUUACACUUUGAGCACUUCCUGGAGGAAGCAAGAUGCAUUUGCUUUGUUUUCUCUGUAAAUGUUCUUCUUUUUUCUGUUCAUUUGUUAAUUUUACUUUCAUUUGUGGGCUAUUUUUGAUAAAUAAAUACUUGUUUGUCAUCGUUCUGAAAUUUCAGGUGUACAAGAUGUUGAUUGUUGUUUUCUGCGUAGAAGAAUACCUGUUAGAGGAGUUAUUGUAUGGGAGAAUGCGAGAUGUGUACGCGGCUAACAUGUUGGUGCAUGACUGCAAAUGUACACCUCGCCUCUUUAUAUUUUGCACAUUACAUUGAAAUCACAGCAGUGCAAAUUGUGCCAUUUGUUUGCUUUCUAUUUCUGUUUAGAAAUAGAAAGUAUGUUAAAUACUUUAAUAAAUGAUGCUAAUUAUUGCUCAUAUUGAUUUAACAUUAUCUCCCCUCUAGAUUUAACAUGAUCAUUUAUUUGCUACAGAUUUCACAAUGUUUCACCAUAUGCAAUGAUGAACUAGAUUUCUAAGCACAUGUUCUGCUCUAUUCAUUAAGUAAUUGUAGUAAAGCUGUGCAUAUUUGUCACCUAUAAUUCAGCAAUGCACAGACAGAGCUAACUGCACCAAUGCCAUCUUAGUUGGUAUACUGUUUACUGCAUCCACUAUUGUUAAGAUUUGUUUAGGUGAGAUAAAAAUGGAGUCGCGUCUCAAGAAUAGCACUGUGCUGUUGGUUCACUUUGGUUUCUGUGAGCUUUGUUGUUCAUGGGUGCUCUCUAACCUGUCACCAAGCUUUUUUUAUUUUAAAGGACACAACAGUGUUGAUCUCUUAGAGUUUUGUUCUCUUGUAAGCAAACUCUAUAGUGGUUAAUGUCACAUGACCUGGGGUUCAAUUCCCUGCUCGGGUAACUGCUUUGGAAGACACCGCUAACACAACAUCUACUUUCCUCGGAAACAUGAUUAGACUGUCUAUCUUGAUAAGAAUGCCUGCCAUAUCUGUUGUAAAGGAAAGUAUCAUGUACACAGGCCUGUAUGAGCACCUGUUUGAGAUUCUCCACGGUUUUUAUAGCAAAGCAUUAUUGAUGAUUGGAGCCCACGAACAUACAUUAUCAAAGCGCAUCUUGAAAAAGCCACGGUUAGUCCCCAUUGUGCUAUGUUCAAACCCUUCCAAUUGUGCUAAAACACUCUUAAGGGAUGCAUAUAUUUAACCACCACUAAAUGGGAUUAGCCAACAGUGAUGCAGCAUAGCUUUCCACCAGCUAGCAACUGACCCACUUGCGGAAAGUAAGCAGGUGUUCUUGUCGUCGGUCUACCCCUGGGUCCCUGUAUCCCUGGUGAUUUAGGAUGAAGCCAGCAUUAAUGUUUUUGUCCUGGGGUGCGCGAUGUCACUUUCAAUUUUGUAGAACUCAUCACAUAAGUAUACCCCUGUGACUACAAGCAACAAAAAACUUUAGAGCUUUAGAGAGAAUGCAAGUGAAUGCAUUAACUUCAAGGUGGACUGCAGCUUUGAUUUCAGCCUGGCUAGCACAUACUGACCACAUAUAUAUAUAUAUAUAUAUAUAUAUAUAUAUAUAUAAAAUGUGCCUUUUAAGUGGGGCAUGUAUUUCACAUUGUACGCGCAUUGCUAUCUGAGGGAUUUGCACAGCAAACGUUCUUCCAUUCGUUUUUUAAUGGAUGUGGAAUUGCAGCAAAUAAAUCAUAUGGCUUGUUGGAGUUGUGUAAUGAUGUUGGCUGUAUAAAGCAUGUAUGGAGAGAUUUAACCAGAAUAUCUGCUUCGGCCUACAGUGUGCAGUGCUGUUAUAGUCUGUAGAACUGUACACGUUUGAAACAUUGAUUUUCUCGCCAUCUUGUAACUCAAAAAUUUGAUUCAGGGCAUGUAAUUAUAUUGGCAUGUAAUUAUAUGUCCAAAUCAUUUCCAUACACUGUUGAUCACCACAGUACUUCUGGAGGCUACUAUGGGGAAUGAUGUUUAGGACAGGCCAAACGUGGUUAGGUAUUUGUACUAGAUUAUAGGUAGAAUCUUGCAGGUUCAUAGUUCUGUAUGGUGAGCAAUAAUGCAUGUUUUAUCAUAUAUGUAUAUAUAUAUAUAUAUAUAUAUAUAUAUAUAUAUAUAUGUAUGUAUAUGUAUGUAUAUGUAUAUAUAUAUGAAUGGUGCCUUACAUAUUUCAUGUCACAUUGAUCUCAUUAAGAUCUCAUUAUGGAAUGCAAACAGCUAACUUCGAAAAACAUAGAUAGAACUAGUUUUGAUGGUGAUGUUCUUUAGAUGACUUAGAUCCUGUGGACUGAAAGUUAGAGUCUAGCAGCUUUGAUAGCUUAUAUAGCAACACUAAUGACUGAGCUUGACAAACUGACUGAAGUAAAUAGUAUAUGAAUGUACUGAAUGUAAGUCUUCCGGGAUUGUAUUCUGGAAUGACUCAGUGUUAAACUAUGUACAAGGCAAUACACCCCACAUUUACUCUGGAUGUCUGUAACUGGCCCUCAUAAUCCAACUCAAAAUGCCUUAUCAAAAAAUCUGUGUGAAGGACCAAAAUGAGCACAUUAAUGUCCAGUCAUUGCUUAUGGUUGGUUUUCCAGAGGAUGGCGCUGCAAAGACCGCCUUUGUAUGCUCUCUAAUUGCUAUACAGUCUUGCUUUGUGUGCAAAUCAUGUAUGUCAUACGUGGUCAGUGAAUAGUCAACCGUUCAUCCUGGCAAAGCUCAUUAAACUACUUCUCUCCCAGUUUUUUUAUUUCAGUAUGUAGAUUCAAACAACCCCAAAAGUAUGACGUAAGCUAUAGCGUAAUGUAAGCAGUAUUGUAUCUAUCCAGCUGCUUUAUCCUUCUGUGGAGUAACUUUACGAAUGUGCUGCCAGUAGACAGAGCAUGACCAAAACACUAGUGCAUUUCUGAAAGAAAAUGAAAUUCUCCAAGACGAUACACACAAUAUCCACCCGUCUUCAGUCCUGUGUGCUGUCAUCCUUUAUGUAUGUGUGGGUAUUGGUCUACAGUGUAGCCUUGCCCAUUUGUACCAUGUAAACACUGUGCAGUCUUUUACCAUUUAUUCACUAUGAGCUGUGAGAAGCUCCGAACGCAUUGUGUUUCGUCCUGCUUCUGUACUGAACCAUUAGCCAUUACUCGUAUUGUGCAAAAUACAACAGAGACCUUAAAGUUAAAUGGGCGUUCUGUACAGAUGUCUCCUGUCUUGUGCUCUUAACAUGACUGGGUGAUGAAUUACAUGUGUGGCUUAUUAUGUACAGUGUGUGAAAUACAGUAAAUUAAAUAAUGUAAUUGAUAGAGAGUAUAUUAUACAUCGAAAAUAAUGUAUAUAUGUAUGAACUGUAAACGUACAUAGGAGAUGUACGCAAUAAAAUCCAUUUGAAUAUUAAAA